CUAUGCCUACGGGGCGCAGCAGUAGGGAAUCUUCCACAAUGGGCGAAAGCCUGAUGGAGCAACGCCGCGUGGGUGAAGAAGGUCUUCGGAUCGUAAAACCCUGUUGUUAGAGAAGAAAGUGCGUGAGAGUAACUGUUCACAUUUCGACGGUAUCUAACCAGAAAGCCACGGCUAACUACGUGCCAGCAGCCGCGGUAAUACGUAGGUGGCAAGCGUUAUCCGGAAUUAUUGGGCGUAAAGUGAACGCAGGCGGGUUUUUAAGUCUGAUGUGAAAGCCUUCGGCUUAACCGG
rnacentral:rRNA from 1 species